rnacentral:rRNA from 1 species
AACAGACCCAACCGUCCUCAACACAUCUGAUUGUGUCCGAUUUCAGAAGCUAAGCAGGGUCCGGCCCCGGUUAGUACCCUGGGUGAGGGAACACCAGGGAUCUCUGCUU